rnacentral:piRNA from 1 species
UAAACGAAGAGAUGAGGGGCAUGGAG